GACGAACGCUGGCGGCGUGCUUAACACAUGCAAGUCGAACGAUGAAGCUGGAGCUUGCUCCAGUGGAUUAGUGGCGAACGGGUGAGUAACACGUGAGCAAUCUGCCCUUGACUCUGGGAUAACUGCGGGAAACUGUAGCUAAUACCGGAUACGACACCUUGGGGCAUCCCGAGGUGUGGAAAGAAUUUCGGUCAAGGAUGAGCUCGCGGCCUAUCAGCUAGUUGGUGAGGUAAAGGCUCACCAAGGCGACGACGGGUAGCCGGCCUGAGAGGGUGACCGGCCACACUGGAACUGAGAUACGGUCCAGACUCCUACGGGAGGCAGCAGUGGGGAAUAUUGCACAAUGGGCGCAAGCCUGAUGCAGCAACGCCGCGUGAGGGAUGAAGGCCUUCGGGUUGUAAACCUCUUUUAGCAGGGAAGAAGCGAAAGUGACGGUACCUGCAGAAAAAGCACCGGCUAACUACGUG
rnacentral:rRNA from 1 species